ensembl:snRNA U1 U1 spliceosomal RNA
AUACUUACCUGGCAGGGGAGAUACCAUGAUCAGGAAGUUGGUUUUCCCAGGGCAAGGCUUAUCCAUUGCACUCCGGAUGUGCUGACCCCUGAGAUUUCCCCAAAUGUGGGAAACUCGACUACAUAAUUCGUAGUAGUGGGGGACUGUGUUCUCGCUUUCCCCUG